rnacentral:rRNA from 1 species
AUUGAACGCUGGCGGCAGGCCUAACACAUGCAAGUCGAGCGGAGCGGCGGACGGGUGAGUAAGGCCUAGGACUCUGCCUGGGAGUGGGGGAUAAGGUACGGAAACGGGCGCUAAUACCGCAUCCUAUCAGAUGAGCCUAGGUCGGAUUAGCUAGUUGGUGGGGUAAAGGCAUACCAAGGCGACGAUCCCUAACUGGUCUGAGAGGAUGAUCAUCCACACUGGAACUGAGACACGGUCCAGACUCCUACGGGAGGCAGCAGUGGGGAAUAUUGGACAAUGGGCGAAAGCCUGAUCCAGCCAUGCCGCGUGUGUUAAGAAGGUCUUCGGAUUGUAAAGCACUUUAAGUGGGGAGGCGUUACCCACAGAAUAAGCACCGGCUAACUUCGUGCCAGCAGCCGCGGUAAUAC